rnacentral:rRNA from 1 species
AUUGAACGCUGGCGGCAUGCCUUACACAUGCAAGUCGAACGGCAGCACGGGAGCAAUCCUGGUGGCGAGUGGCGAACGGGUGAGUAAUACAUCGGAACGUGCCCAAUCGUGGGGGAUAACGCAGCGAAAGCUGUGCUAAUACCGCAUACGAUCUACGGAUGAAAGCAGGGGAUCGCAAGACCUUGCGCGAAUGGAGCGGCCGAUGGCAGAUUAGGUAGUUGGUGAGGUAAAGGCUCACCAAGCCGUCGAUCUGUAGCUGGUCUGAGAGGACGACCAGCCACACUGGGACUGAGACACGGCCCAGACUCCUACGGGAGGCAGCAGUGGGGAAUUUUGGACAAUGGGCGAAAGCCUGAUCCAGCCAUGCCGCGUGCAGGACGAAGGCCUUCGGGUUGUAUUCUGCUUUUGUGCGGAACGAAAC